UCGUCAGCUCGUGUCGUGAGAUGUUGGGUUAAGUCCCGCAACGAGCGCAACCCUUGUCCCUAGUUGCUACGCAAGAGCACUCUAGGGAGACUGCCGGUGACAAACCGGAGGAAGGUGGGGAUGACGUCAAGUCCUCAUGGCCCUUAUGGGUAGGGCUUCACACGUCAUACAAUGGUCGGAACAGAGGGUCGCCAACCCGCGAGGGGGAGCCAAUCCCAGAAAACCGAUCGUAGUCCGGAUCGCACUCUGCAACUCGAGUGCGUGAAGCUGGAAUCGCUAGUAAUCGCGGAUCAGCAUGCCGCGGUGAAUACGUUCCCGGGUCUUGUACACACCGCCCGUCACACCAUGGGAGUGGGUUUUACCAGAAGUGGCUAGUCUAACCGCAAGGAGGACGGUCACCACGGUAGGAUUCAUGACUGGGGUGAAGUCGUAACAAGGUAGCCGUA
rnacentral:rRNA from 1 species